rnacentral:rRNA from 1 species
CAGGUUAAUAUUCCUGUACUUCUGGUUACUGCGAUGGAGGGACGGAGAAGGCUAGGCCAGCUUGGCGUUGGUUGUCCAAGUUUAAGGUGGUAGGCUGAAAUCUUAGGUAAAUCCGGGGUUUCAAGGCCGAGAGCUGAUGACGAGUCGUCUUUUAGAUGACGAAGUGGUUGAUGCCAUGCUUCCAAGAAAAGCUUCUAAGCUUCAGGUAACCAGGAACCGUACCCCAAACCGACACAGGUGGUCGGGUAGAGAAUACCAAGGCGCUUGAGAGAACUCGGGUGAAGGAACUAGGCAAAAUGGCACCGUAACUUCGGGAGAAGGUGCGCCGGCUAGGGUGAAGGAUUUACUCCGUAAGCCCUGGCUGGUCGAAGAUACCAGGCCGCUGCGACUGUUUAUUAAAAACACAGCACUCUGCAAACACGAAAGUGGACGUAUAGGGUGUGACGCCUGCCCGGUGCCGGAAGGUUAAUUGAUGGGGUUAGCGCAAGCGAAGCUCUUGAUCGAAGCCCCGGUAAACGGCGGCCGUAACUAUAACGGUCCUAAGGUAGCGAAAUUCCUUGUCGGGUAAGUUCCGACCUGCACGAAUGGCGUAACGAUGGCGGCGCUGUCUCCACCCGAGACUCAGUGAAAUUGAAAUCGCUGUGAAGAUGCAGUGUAUCCGCGGCUAGACGGAAAGACCCCGUGAACCUUUACUGUAGCUUUGCACUGGACUUUGAGCCUGCUUGUGUAGGAUAGGUGGGAGGCUUUGAAGCGUGGACGCCAGUUCGCGUGGAGCCAUCCUUGAAAUACCACCCUGGCAUGCUUGAGGUUCUAACUCUGGUCCGUGAUCCGGAUCGAGGACAGUGUAUGGUGGGCAGUUUGACUGGGGCGGUCUCCUCCUAAAGAGUAACGGAGGAGUACGAAGGUGCGCUCAGACCGGUCGGAAAUCGGUCGUAGAGUAUAAAGGCAAAAGCGCGCUUGACUGCGAGACAGACACGUCGAGCAGGUACGAAAGUAGGUCUUAGUGAUCCGGUGGUUCUGUAUGGAAGGGCCAUCGCUCAACGGAUAAAAGGUACUCCGGGGAUAACAGGCUGAUACCGCCCAAGAGUUCAUAUCGACGGCGGUGUUUGGCACCUCGAUGUCGGCUCAUCACAUCCUGGGGCUGAAGCCGGUCCCAAGGGUAUGGCUGUUCGCCAUUUAAAGUGGUACGCGAGCUGGGUUUAGAACGUCGUGAGACAGUUCGGUCCCUAUCUGCCGUGGACGUUUGAGAUUUGAGAGGGGCUGCUCCUAGUACGAGAGGACCGGAGUGGACGAACCUCUGGUGUUCCGGUUGUCACGCCAGUGGCAUUGCCGGGUAGCUAUGUUCGGAAAAGAUAACCGCUGAAAGCAUCUAAGCGGGAAACUUGCCUCAAGAUGAGAUCUCACUGGGAACUUGAUUCCCCUGAAGGGCCGUCGAAGACUACGACGUUGAUAGGCUGGGUGUGUAAGCGUUGUGAGGCGUUGAGCUAACCAGUACUAAUUGCCCGUGAGGCUUGACCAU